rnacentral:rRNA from 1 species
GACGAACGCUGGCGGCGUGCUUAACACAUGCAAGUCGAGCGGUAAGGCCCUUUCGGGGGUACGACGAGCGGCGAACGGGUGAGUAACACGUGGGUGACCUGCCCUUACGCUCUGGGAGUAAAGCCUGGGAAACGUAGGGUCGUAAUACCGGAUAUGACUCCAUGACGCAUGUUGUGGGGUGGGAAAGCCUUGUGCGGCUAGGGAUGGGCCCGCGGCCUAUCAGCUUGUUGGUGGGGUGAUGGCCUACCAAGGCGACGACGGGUAGCCGGCCUGAGAGGGCGACCGGCCACACUGGGA